UACGUAGGGACCGAGCGUUGUCCGGAAUUAUUGGGCGUAAAGAGCUCGUAGGCGGUGUGUCGCGUCGGCCGUGAAAACCUGGGGCUCAACUCUGGGCGUGCGGUCGAUACGGGCAUCACUUGAGUUCGGCAGGGGAGACUGGAAUUCCUGGUGUAGCGGUGAAAUGCGCAGAUAUCAGGAGGAACACCGGUGGCGAAGGCGGGGUCUCUGGGCCGAUACUGACGCUGAGGAGCGAAAGCAUGGGUAGCGAACAGG
rnacentral:rRNA from 1 species